GUCGAGCGGACAGCAAUGGAGCUUGCUCCCGGAUGUUACCGGCGGACGGGUGAGUAACACGUGGGUAACCUGCCUGUAAGACUGGGAUAACUCCGGGAAACCGGAGCUAAUACCGGAUAGUUCCUUGAACCGCAUGGUUCAAGGAUGAAAGACGGUUUCGGCUGUCACUUACAGAUGGACCCGCGGCGCAUUAGCUAGUUGGUGAGGUAACGGCUCACCAAGGCGACGAUGCGUAGCCGACCUGAGAGGGUGAUCGGCCACACUGGGACUGACACACGGCCCAGACUCCUACGGGAGGCAGCAGUAGGGAAUCUUCCGCAAUGGACGAAAGUCUGACGGAGCAACGCCGCGUGAGUGAUGAAGGUUUUCGGAUCGUAAAGCUCUGUUGUUAGGGAAGAACAAGUGCAAGAGUAACUGCUUGCACCUUGACGGUACCUAACCAGAAAGCCACGGCUAACUACGUGCCAGCAGCCGCGGUAAUACGUAGGUGGCAAGCGUUGUCCGGAAUUAUUGGGCGUAAAGGGCUCGCAGGCGGUUUCUUAAGUCUGAUGUGAAAGCCCCCGGCUCAACCGGGGAGGGUCAUUGGAAACUGGGAAACUUGAGUGCAGAAGAGGAGAGUGGAAUUCCACGUGUAGCGGUGAAAUGCGUAGAGAUGUGGAGGAACACCAGUGGCGAAGGCGACUCUCUGGUCUGUAACUGACGCUGAGGAGCGAAAGCGUGGGGAGCGAACAGGAUUAGAUACCCUGGUAGUCCACGCCGUAAACGAUGAGUGCUAAGUGUUAGGGGGUUUCCGCCCCUUAGUGCUGCAGCUAACGCAUUAAGCACUCCGCCUGGGGAGUACGGUCGCAAGACUGAAACUCAAAGGAAUUGACGGGGGCCCGCACAAGCGGUGGAGCAUGUGGUUUAAUUCGAAGCAACGCGAAGAACCUUAC
rnacentral:rRNA from 1 species